CUCGUAGGCGGUUUGUCGCGUCGGGAGUGAAAUCCACUGGCUUAACUGGUGGCUUGCUUUUGAUACGGGCAGACUGGAGGUAUGCAGGGGAGAACGGAAUUCCUGGUGUAGCGGUGAAAUGCGCAGAUGUCAGGAGGAACACCGGUGGCGAAGGCGGUUCUCUGGGCAUGUCCUGACGCUGAGGAGCGAAAGUGUGGGGAGCGAACA
rnacentral:rRNA from 1 species